rnacentral:tRNA from 1 species
GCGCGUGUGGUCUAGUGCCCAAGACGCUUCCUUGCCAUGGAAGAGACCGCGGGUUGGAAUCCCGCCACGCGCUCCA